rnacentral:rRNA from 1 species
UACGUAGGGUGCGAGCGUUGUCCGGAAUUAUUGGGCGUAAAGGGCUCGUAGGCGGUUUGUCGCGUCGGGAGUGAAAACCUUGGGCUUAACUCAGGGCUUGCUUUCGAUACGGGCAGACUAGAGGUAUGCAGGGGAGAACGGAAUUCCUGGUGUAGCGGUGAAAUGCGCAGAUAUCAGGAGGAACACCGGUGGCGAAGGCGGCUAUCUGGACAGAAACUGACGCUGAGGCGCGAAAGCUAGGGGAGCAAACAGG